AGGUAUGAUUUGCCCCUCCUUGCCUUCUGCCAUGAUUGUGAGGCCUCCCCAGCCACGUGAAACUGAUCACAGGGCUCAGUUGAAGUCCAAGACUGUCAGAGGUGUGGAUAAAGUUAAAAUAUUUAACCUUCUCAUGUAAACAUAAGAGCCUGAUUAAUUUUGAGACAUGAGCUUUGGACCCAGACCUGAGCUGGACUCUUGCUUCACUUCACUUCACCGAGCUGCGUGGGCUUGGAGGGAUGUUAAACGACGCUUAGACGGGGGCGCACGGUGACAGAUGCGGCCCCGGCACAGGGGCACUGGCGUUGAGAUUCCACAUCAGCAUCGGUGGGAACCUGGGAGAACUAUUGCGCCUUUUGCAGACCC
rnacentral:lncRNA from 10 species